GACGCGGUGGCGAAGGGGUUCAACGCUGCGGUUUGCAAAACCGCCAUUCGUGGGUUCAAAUCCCACCCGCGUCUCCA
rnacentral:tRNA from 1 species